rnacentral:rRNA from 1 species
AUGAACGCUAGCUACAGGCUUAACACAUGCAAGUCGAGGGGCAGCGGGAUUGAAGCUUGCUUCAAUUGCCGGCGACCGGCGCACGGGUGAGUAACGCGUAUCCAACCUUCCGUACACUCAGGGAUAGCCUUUCGAAAGAAAGAUUAAUACCUGAUGGUAUGAUGAGAUUGCAUGAUAUCAUCAUUAAAGAUUUAUCGGUGUACGAUGGGGAUGCGUUCCAUUAGGUAGUAGGCGGGGUAACGGCCCACCUAGCCAACGAUGGAUAGGGGUUCUGAGAGGAAGGUCCCCCACAUUGGAACUGAGACACGGUCCAAACUCCUACGGGAGGCAGCAGUGAGGAAUAUUGGUCAAUGGACGAGAGUCUGAACCAGCCAAGUAGCGUGAAGGAUGAAGGUCCUACGGAUUGUAAACUUCUUUUAUAAGGGAAUAAACCCUCCCACGUGUGGGAGCUUGUAUGUACCUUAUGAAUAAGCAUCGGCUAACUCCGUG